rnacentral:rRNA from 1 species
GACGAACCGUGCGAACGUUGUUCGGAAUCACUGGGCUUAAAGGGCGCGUAGGCGGGCUACCAAGUCUGUGGUGAAAUCCUCCAGCUCAACUGGAGAACGGCCGUGGAUACUGGGAGCCUCGAGGGAGAUAGGGGCAGGCGGAACUGAUGGUGGAGCGGUGAAAUGCGUUGAUAUCAUCAGGAACUCCGGUGGCGAAGGCGGCCUGCUGGAUCUCAUCUGACGCUGAGGCGCGAAAGCCAGGGGAGCAAAGCGGGGAU